UUGCGAGAUGGUGUAAAGGCAGCACGAAUGGCUCUGAACCAUUUAGUCGGGGUUCGAAUCCCUGUCUCGCAAUC
rnacentral:tRNA from 1 species